rnacentral:tRNA from 1 species
GGGGGUAUAGCUCAGUGGUAGAAAGUGUCCUUAGCAUCCACAAGUUCCUGGGUUCAAUCCCCAGUACCUUUG